AGUAACGGCGAGUGAACAGGGAAAAGCCCAAAUUUGUAAUCUGGCACUUUUUACAAGUGUCCGAGUUGUAAUUUGUAGAGCUGUUAUCCGUACUGGACCAUGUACAAGUCUGUUGAAAAGCAGCAUCAUUGAAGGUGAAAAUCCUGUAGAUGAUAUGGACUACCAGUAUAUUUGUGAUACGGUUUCUAAGAGUCGAGUUGUUUGGGAAUGCAGCUCAAAGUGGGUGGUAAAUUCCAUCUAAGGCUAAAUAUAAGUGAGAGACCGAUAGCAAACAAGUACCGUGAGGGAAAGAUGAAAAGAACUUUGAAAAUAGAGUUAACAGUACGUGAAAUUGCUGAAAGGGAAACGUUUGAAGUUAGUUUUGUAUUCGUUGGAUCAGCUUCGCAAGGAGUGUAUUCUGAUGAUAAGCAAGUCAACAUCAGUCUAUGAGUGUUGGAUAAGGGUUUUGAGAAUGUAGCAAUUUAAUUGUGUUAUAGCUUGAGACUUGGAUACGAUGCUUUGGAUUGAGGAACGCGUAGUAAGCUUUGAGCGGAUUCGAAAGGAUCUCCUUACUAGGAGUGGUAAC
rnacentral:rRNA from 1 species